UGUAUCAUGUGACUCGUGUGUGUGUUCUCAGGUGCAGGUGUGUGUGACGGACAUCAUCAUGCUCAAAGGCUCUCGGUGAUCCGCUCCUUCCCAUGAUUCCUCACCAGGCCGCCCCAUGCCAACCCGUAACCAUGACGACCACUCGCCCCCGUGAGCCCCUCCGUCGCCCGGCGGCCGUUUGACUGGAUGAGGAACCCGGCCUCCAGUGAUGUGAUGCACAGGUUUGAGGUUCUUGGGAUUGUGGGGGAAGGAGCGUACGGGGUCGUCCUGAAGUGCAGACACAAGGAGACUAAUGAGAUCGUGGCCAUUAAGAAGUUUAAGGACAGUGAAGGUGAGUCUCCUGCUCAUCAGUGAACACUAGUCCUUCAUCUGAGCUGAUUCACUCAUCAAACAACACACAACCAAACAACAUCCAGCCCGUCUGUCUGUGACAUCAUGAUGCAGCUCAUGAAUAUUAAUAAGGCUCCGCUAACGA
rnacentral:lncRNA from 1 species